GAUGAACGCUGGCGGCGUGCCUAAUACAUGCAAGUCGAGCGAACAGACGAGGAGCUUGCUCCUCUGACGUUAGCGGCGGACGGGUGAGUAACACGUGGAUAACCUACCUAUAAGACUGGGAUAACUUCGGGAAACCGGAGCUAAUACCGGAUAAUAUAUUGAACCGCAUGGUUCAAUAGUGAAAGACGGUUUUGCUGUCACUUAUAGAUGGAUCCGCGCCGCAUUAGCUAGUUGGUAAGGUAACGGCUUACCAAGGCGACGAUGCGUAGCCGACCUGAGAGGGUGAUCGGCCGCACUGGAACUGAGACACGGUCCAGACUCCUACGGGAGGCAGCAGUAGGGAAUCUUCCGCAAUGGGCGAAGGCCUGACGGAGCAACGCCGCGUGAGUGAUGAAGGUCUUCGGAUCGUAAAACUCUGUUAUUAGGGAAGAACAAAUGUGUAAGUAACUAUGCACGUCUUGACGGUACCUAAUCAGAAAGCCACGGCUAACUACGUG
rnacentral:rRNA from 1 species